GCCCCACCCUAUUUUCACAUUCUUCUCCCAAACCAAACAAUAAUCCAAUCAUCAAAUAUUUCUCCCCCAAAUUGUUGUCGUUGUCGCCUUCCUCGUCGGACUACCAUCACCUUCCUUCACCAUCCCGUCAUCAAAUCUUGGUCAAUUUUCCUCUCCCAACAAUCCGUCAAAUCCCUAAAAAUUCAACCCAUCAUUAGAAAUUUUGAAGUCCUGAAAAUCCAACCCAUCUCUAUCUUUUGAUUUUGAUGAUGUUCCACCAUGAAGAUGCUCGCCUAUAGUGGGUGAGGCUUGAUCAUGGGGUUAAGCUGUGCAACUCCUUUUGGCUUUUCAUUUUCAUUUUGAUCUUCUUGUGUUGUUUGUCCAAUUAAUUGUGUGGGAUGUGUACGUGGAUUGAGGCUGUCAGCUACGAAAGAAAUUUUGACGAAUUCGUGGCCAGUGGUUUUCUUGGAUUUAGGUGGCCGCGCGAAAUUGCUGCAAUUUUCCCCAAUAGAAAAGCUAGGUUUGAUGGUGAUACCGAUGGUUUUGGUUUGAUUGUUGUGGUGGUGGUAGUUUAAGCUUUACGAUGAGAUAGGUUGCUAUGACCAAUUGACUGGCCAACGGAUGUGAGUUUCUUUGGGUUCAAUUUUGAAGAAGAUCACCUUUUGGUUUUGUUUUUUGAUUUAAUUAUCUCUUAUUAUAUAAUUGUAAUUGUAUUGUAAAAUAUAAGUUGUCAUGAAAUUAACGAAAAUGGC
rnacentral:lncRNA from 1 species